rnacentral:rRNA from 1 species
GUGAGUCAUCGAGUCUUUGAACGCAUAUUGCGCUCUUUGGUAUUCCGAAGAGCAUGCUUGUUUGAGUAUCAGUAAACACCUCAACCUCCUCUUGUUUUUUCAAAAGGAGGGUGGACUUGAGCAAUCCCAACUCUUUGCAAAAAGAGGCGGGCUGCUUGAAAUGCAGGUGCAGCUGGACAUUCUUCUGAGCUAAAAGCAUAUUUAUUUAGUCCCGUCAAACGGAUUAUUACUUUUGCUCUAGCUAACAUAAAGGUUGAAUGUACUACGUGCUGACUGAUGCAGGAUUACCAAGUUUCCGUCAAAAGAAACUUGUAAACUCGAUCUCAAAUCAAGUAAGACUACCCGCUGAACUUAAGCAUAUCAAUAAGCGGAGG